UUGUGAUAUCUUGUCUUUCGUUUCAUUUUCUUAUAAUUCUAUUGACACUCUUAAAUAGAAAUUUGAUCUUUGAUACUUUGGCUUUAUUCAGUAAUUUGAAUUCCUUUCUUUCUAUUACAAUUUGUACAGAUUCCGUACUCUUUCAGCGAUACUCUUGUUAAAUUUGAUUUGUUCGUUUUGUCGCUUGUUCGAAUUUCGUUAUUAUUUCACAUAAUUGAUCCUGUGAAAUAAAUAUAUUAGUUUCAUUUUGGAGUUGAUACAUAUGACUCGUAUUUGUACUCUUUGAAUUAGGUUAUCAUGUUUAGUACUAUUUAUUUUGAUAAUUGUAGAGCGGUACAUGUUGCUACCUUCUUUUUGAAACCUUGUGACUAUAAUUUGAUUUGGUUCAACAUGUACAUAUAGAACCCUUAUGUUGGUAUUAUGUCGCAUGUGUUGUGACAAGAUAUUUUUGUUAGAAUAUACCGUAGGGUAUACUUGAGCUAUAACCACCUGUGGGGGUACCACAGGCAUGUCAUCUUGGCACGAGAGACAUGACACUUUCCGUGGCGGUGUGAUUAGUUCACAGCGUCUCUGUUUGGGCUCGGGAGGAAGUGGGCCAUUUGGUGUUUUAUUGUGGGAGGCGUAUGGGUUAACCCUAGUUUUUUGUUCUGCG
rnacentral:lncRNA from 1 species